rnacentral:rRNA from 1 species
GACGAACGCUGGCGGCGUGCUUAACACAUGCAAGUCGAACGGAAAGGCCUCUUUCGGGGGGUACUCGAGUGGCGAACGGGUGAGUAACACGUGAGUAACCUGCCCUUGACUUUGGGAUAACUUCAGGAAACUGGGGCUAAUACCGGAUAGGAGCUCCUGCUGCAUGGUGGGGGUUGGAAAGUUUCGGCGGUUGGGGAUGGACUCGCGGCUUAUCAGCUUGUUGGUGGGGUAGUGGCUUACCAAGGCUUUGACGGGUAGCCGGCCUGAGAGGGUGACCGGCCACAUUGGACUGAGAUACGGCCCAGACUCCUACGGGAGGCAGCAGUGGGGAAUAUUGCACAAUGGGUGGAAGCCUGAUGCAGCAACGCCGUGUGCGGGAUGACGGCCUUCGGGUUGUAAACCGCUUUCGCUCAUGACGAAGCUUUGUGUGACGGUAGUGGGUAAAGAAGCACCGGCUAACUACGUG